GUUAAUGAUGUUACUCAUGCCACUGGGGCAUGAAAGAAAAGCUUGCAUUUUUGGGUGGUUAUUGCUUGCCCAGAGCGGUGGAAUGAGCCAUACGGCUGAAGGCCAAGGGACUCGGCCACCCAUGCAGUGAAAUAAUCCCCAAGAAAUGCACUGCUUGGAAUGGAAAUGAAAAGAAAGUGAACAGUCAGUCAUUCCAGGGCAUCUACUAAAUAUUACCGACAGUCAUUCAGUCUAAAGUUUGCCUGAUUCUUAACACUGCAAAUCUCAGAUUUGGGAUGUAUUACAUAGAUCACAGGAAACGGUUGACAACAAGCAGUUGGAGCGCUGUUCCUGUCAAGCUCUGGGUCGUAAGCAUGGGACCCUGGAUGAGAAGAAAGAAGCAACAUUCAACUGUACGAUGGCCUACAUUUUUUGACCCAUCGGAGACUCACGUGAAUAAAGAAAAGCAGAAUUUCGUGUUGGCAUCAGCAUCUACUAUAUAGCAGGCACUCUGUUCCAUGUCUUCUGCAAGACAGCUUUACCUAUAACAUGAAAGAGGGGAGAGAGUUCCCAGCACCAGCUCCCUGUGGGCCAACGGCCUGGAGGCCUGGGUCAAUCCCCAAAUCACUUGGGCCUUGGCUCCCUCACCAACCAGAUCUCAUUCUCUGGAGGAGGGCUACGGGUUGAAUUGUGUCCCUGAAGAAGAUGCGUUGAAGGUGACUUGAGGUGGAAAUAGGGCCUUUGCAGAUGGAAUCAAGUUAAGGCGAGCUCCUGCUGGACUAGGGUGGGCCCUGAAUCCAGUAGGACUGGUGUCCUUUGAAGGGACAAAGAAACACCCACCAAGAAGUAUGGCCGCCAUGAGGCAAGGGUUGCUCGCAUCACCAGAAGCCAGACGAGAGUGCAGGGUCCUGGCGACACCUUGAUUUCAGCCUUCUAGCUUCCAGAACCACAAGAUGGUCCAGAAGCCUCAACGAGGAAUGGAGGGGAGAGAAAACGAAACCGAAUGUCCUCCAAACACAGGGCCGUGUCCUGAGCUGAGAUCCCCAGCAUCAGCCCUGGCGCGAGCUCAGGCACCGGGGAAGGUCUGUGUACCUUCCCUUCCCCAGAUGUUUAUAAUGAAUAAUGGAUUCCGUGAAUAAAUUCUAAUAGAUGCCUGAAUACAUUUUAAUAACUAAUGACUAAAAUUAGGAGUGAGAACACUGCAGAGUCUUAAAUAUAUAUUUAAAGUGUUACAAAUUAUAAGCAUUUAAAUUAUAAGCUUUCAAAUAUUAUAGAGGAAAUUUUUAAAAAUUAAAAAAAAAAUUGCUGUACUGUUAAGCGCGAUGAUGUGAUGAACAUGAACAUUGUAAAAGGAAUUCCACAAUUGAGUUAAUGAACAUGGCCAACACCUCAGAUAGUAACUUGGUUUUUAGUGAGAAUACAUAAAUUCUACUGUCUUAGCAAAUUUCAGUUAUACAAUACAAUAUUAUUAGCUAUAGUCACUGCAAUACACGAGAUCCUCAUAUCUUGUUCAUCUUAUCGCUGAAAGGCUGUACCCUUUUACCAACCGCUCGCCAUUCCCCCCAUCUCCCCUAGCCCCUGGAAAUCGCCAUUCGCCAUUCUACUCUCUGUUUCUGAGACCCAGUUUUUGUGUCGGCUUUUUUUUUUUUUAAGAUUCCGAAUAUAAGUGAUCCCAUGCAUUAUUUUUGCCUGUCUGGCUUGUUUUGCUUAGCAUAAUACCCUCCAUGGGUGAACGCCCAUGCCGUAAAUGGCAGGAUUCUUUUAAGGCUGAAUAAUAUUCCAUUGUGAUAUCUAUAUCUAUGUCUAUAUAUGGAUAUCACAUUGUCUUCAUUCACAUUUAUCUGUCAAAGGACAUGUAGGUUGUGUCCAUACCUUGGCUAUUGUAAACAAUGCUGCCAUGCACAUGGGAGUACAGAUAUUCUUUUAAGACGAUAAUUUUGUUUCCUUUGGAUAUAUAUCCAGAAGUGGUAUUGCUGGAUCCUAAGGUAGCUCUAUUUUUAAUUUUUUGAGGAACUUCCAUACUAUUUUCCACAGUGGCUACACCAGUUUGCAUUCUCACCAACAGGGCACAGGGGUCCCUUUUCUCCACAUCUUUGCCAACAUCUGUUAUCUCUUGUCUUUUUUUUCCAGGUCUCCUAAAUUUUAUGAGCUCUCCUCUUUUUUUUUAUUUUAAUUUUUUAAUUCCAGUAUAAUUAAUGUACAGUGUUAUAUUAGUUUCAGGUGUACAGCAUAGUGAUUCAACUAUUCUAUACACUCCUUGGUGCUCAAUGUGAUACGUGUAUUCUUAAUCACCUAUUUCACCCAGCCGCAUGCCCCCAUAACUUCCAGUUUGUUCUCUAUAUUUAAGAGUCUAAUUUUUUGUCUCUCAUUUUCUUUGUUUUGUUUCUUAAAUUACACAGAGGAAUGAAAUCAUAUGGUAUUUGUCCGUCUCUGGCUAACUUAUUUCACUUAGCAUUAUAUCCUCUAGAUCUAUCCUUGUUGAAAAUGGCAACAUUUCAUUCUUUUUAUGGCUGAAUAAUAUUCCAUCAUAUAUAUAUAGAUAUAUCUAUAUCUAUAUAUAUAUACUCACAUCAUCUUUAUCCAUUCAUCUAUUGACGGACACUCAGGCUGCUUCCAUACUUUGGCUAUUGUAAAUAAUGCUGCAAUAAACAUAAGGGUGCAUGUAUCUUUUUGAAUUAGUGUUUGUGUAUUUUUUGGGUAAUUACCCAGUAGUGGAAUUACUAGAUCAUAUGGUAAUUCUAUUUUUAGUUUUUUGAGGAACCUCCAUACUGUUUUCCACAGUGGCUGCACCAGUUUGCAUUCCCACCAACAGUGCACGAGGCUUCCUUUUUCUGUACAUCCUUGCCAACACUUGUUAUUUCUUGUGUUUUAGCCGUUCUGACAGGUGCCAGGUGAUCUCUCCUUGUGGUUUUGGUUUGCAUUUUCCUGAGGAUGAGUGAUGUUGAGCACCUUUUCAUGUACCUGUUGGCCAUUUGUAUGUCUUCUUUGGAAAAAUGUCUGUUCAAGUCCUUUGCCAUUUUUAAAGUUGGGUUAUUAUUAUUAUUAUUUUGCUAUUAUGUUGUAUGGGUUCUUUGUCUAUUUUAGAUAUUAACCCCCUAUCAGGCAUACAGUUUGCAAAUAUUUUCUCCCAUUCUAUAGGUGCCUUUUCAUUUUGUUGAUGGUUCCUUUGUCAUGCAGAAUCUUCUUAGCUUGAUGGAUCCCACUUGUUUAUUUUUGUUUUUGUUGCCUUUGCUUUCAGUGUCAAAUAAAAAAAAAAAUCAUUGCCAAGACCAAUAUUAAGGGUAUUUUUCUUCAAUGAGUUUUUUUUUCUAAAGAUUUUAUUUAUUUAUUUGAGAGAGAGAAUGAGAGAGAGAGAGAGCACAUGAGAGGGGGGAGGGUCAGAGGGAGAAGCAGACUCCCUGCUGAGCAGGGAGCCCC